rnacentral:lncRNA from 10 species
AGAGCUGGCAGUGCUUCAACAGCGGGCCCCUUCCUACCUGUGGCCUUCUCUAUACUCUCAUUUAGUUUCGGGGGAAGCUUGACACUAUGGCUGUCCUUAGACUUCCUACCGCAUUCAUAACCUGGGAGAUUCUCAUUUGUUCUAAUUCCUGAAUUUUCCCAAUGGGUCUUAAAAAAAUAAAUUACAAAUAUUUGAAAAGUGAAGUAUUUCUUAUCCGAAAGUUAGACAGCCUUGCCCUUUAGAUGUUCCAGUGUGGCAUGUCAAAUCCUUAACUCAGUUGGUUUAUCUCUGCUCCAGCUAACUGGAACAUAAAUUCCCCUGUUUUUUACCACUCGUCUCUAUUGAAAGCAGCAAUUUUCUGGCUGAGAUGCUAUCACAGGAACCAGCAGCCUUGGGGCCUAAUCUGAGUUCCAUGAUAGAGUGUCUGUUGUACAUGAUGGGAUAUUUCUGAAUGUAUCUAGGGUGAUUUUAAAAUCUGCAGAAACCCUUAUUGCUGCCAUUCUGUUGACCCCAAAUCUUUAGUGUCCUGGAUCUUUGCUUUUUGCUAAUACACCAGUAAUGGUUGUUUAUGAUGAUAUCUUUGAAAUGCUGCAAGAUUCCAAAAUGUCUUCUGAGUCCCCAAAGAGACCUUCAGAAUGCAUCCAGUAGAUUUUUACUAUUUAGUAGAUAGUAAAGGACAUUCUAGAUAUUUGGACAAACAAGGGUGAUAUUAACUCUGUCAAUCAAAUAUUAAAUGAUUAAAAACAUGAUAGGAGAGUCUAUUCUCUAUAACAAUGUCUUUCUCCCCCUCUGUCACAUAGACACACGGAUAGAUGUCCUAACUUAAUACUAUAUUUCCCUGCCAUUAGGGUGCCAUCAGUUUUUAUGGCAUAACAGCAUUUGGGGUAUGAUUAAGAAAAACCCUUUAUGACACUCUAUGGCAUUAAGAAUCAUUCUAAUUGCAGAGAUGUUAAAAUGUACAUUUUAGAACUUAUAAAAUAUGAAAUAAUCCCUGUCUUACACAACUUCAGAAAGCAAAUUAUUAGGGAGCACCACCCAGGUUAUUUAGUAAGUUUAGGGCAACCCCAAUAUCAAACCCUGAUAGAUACUGCAAGAUAAAGAAACUGUAGAUCAAUAUUUGUCAUGAAUGUAGGUAGAUAAUGAACAAGUGACAUUUAUCUCAGCACUGUAAGAUUGGUGUAACUUCUGAAAAUUAAUCAAUAUAAUUUGCCACAGAAAAA